GCUCGAAAUUGCUCAGUUGGAAGAGCGUUAGACUGUAAAUCGAAAGGUCCCUGGUUCAAUCCCGGGAUUCGGCA
rnacentral:tRNA from 1 species